GCCUAUAAUUUAUUCUUCUUCCAUGAUACCAAAUUCCCUUUCAAUUUUCCUGAUCCUUUCUACCAACUACAAUCUGUUAGUGAUUAUCUAGUGAAAUUCUUUUGGUUAUACAUACUGUAUAAAAUGUCGUCUCCAAGCAUUCAAUAUUUUGGGCCAUCUCCCCCAUCCACAUAACCAUUUUUUCCAUUUUUUUGUUCAUUUCCUUCUGAGCGUCCUCAAUACGCUGCAGAACCACAAGAACUUCAGAGGAGAAGGCUGGGUUCAAUGCAACCACAGGAGCAAGAGAAGCAGAGGAGGCAGCAGAAGCCAGCACAGCAACAGAUUUCCCCUUGAUAGAGGUUCUGCCAGCAGCAACAUGGGCCUUUCAGCACCGUGAAGCACUGAGAAUGUCUCUGUCAACCUUAUUUCACUCGAACAGGUAAUACACAUUGAGCUCCUUUAUGAAUUGCUUCUGCAUAGCCAGCAAUUCAGAGUAUUUUCCCAGGCCCUUCUGAAAUAACACCUCUAAUGCCAUUGCUUGCUCUUUGAAACGCGAGGGAACCUAUUCCAGUGUUAACCUUAUUGUUAAAAACCUUCAAUAUCCUUUCAAUAAACUCAUGAGAUCACAAUGGGAUCGAUUCAUAUGGCAUCUUUUACAGUUCUUAAAUGCCACUUCCCAGACACAAAGAGGAACAUCUUCUAUCAAUUUAAAGCAGCAAACACAACUCCCCAGCUCCAGGCUGUGAGCAUACCACUUCUCUUCUGAUUGCUCAUUGAUUUCUUCACACAGUUCCAUGGAUACAUCCCCUGCAAGAAUUUUUUCUGUCGCAGAAUCAGCUGCAACAUUCUCCUCAGUGACAAAAUCCUGGAUUUGCUGAUUGACUGAAGUGAACGACAUAAUAUCUAAUUCUAUUCGAAGCAAGUUAGCAACCCCUUACUGAAAAUAG
rnacentral:sRNA from 1 species